rnacentral:rRNA from 1 species
CAAUAGCGUAUAUUAAAGUUGUUGCAGUUAAAAAGCUCGUAGUUGGAUUUGUGGUUCGUCCCGCCGGCUGGGUCAUUGACUUUUGCUGUGCUGGUCGUCCAUCCUUGGGUGGAAUCUGUGUGGCAUUAGGUUGUCGCGCAGGGGAUGCCCAUCGUUUACUGUGAAAAAAUUAGAGUGUUCAAAGCAGGCUUAUGCCGUUGAAUAUAUUAGCAUGGAAUAAUGAUAUAGGACCUUGGUACUAUUUUGUUGGUUUGCGCACUGAGGUAAUGAUUAAUAGGGACAGUUGGGGGUAUUCGUAUUCCAUUGUAAGAGGUGAAAUUCUUGGAUUUUUGGAAGACGAACUACUGCGAAAGCAUUUACCAAGGAUGUUUUCAUUA